AACGCGAAGAACCUUACCAGGGCUUAAAUGUGGUUUGACAGCUUUAGAGAUAGAGUUUUCUUCGGACAAAUCACAAGGUGCUGCAUGGUUGUCGUCAGCUCGUGCCGUGAGGUGUCAGGUUAAGUCCUAUAACGAGCGCAACCCCUGUUGUUAGUUGCCAGCGAGUCAAGUCGGGAACUCUAACAAGACUGCCGGUGCAAACCGUGAGGAAGGUGGGGAUGACGUCAAAUCAUCACGGCCCUUACGUCCUGGGCCACACACGUGCUACAAUGGCAGGUACAAUGGGCAGCCACUGCGUAAGCAGGAGCGAAUCCACAAAACCUGUCUCAGUUCGGAUCGGGGUCUGCAACUCGACCCCGUGAAGCUGGAAUCGCUAGUAAUCGGAUAUCAGCCAUGAUCCGGUGAAUACGUUCCCGGGGUCUGUACACACCG
rnacentral:rRNA from 1 species